rnacentral:rRNA from 1 species
GAUGAACGCUGGCGGCGUGCCUAAUACAUGCAAGUCGAGCGAACGGACGAGAAGCUUGCUUCUCUGAUGUUAGCGGCGGACGGGUGAGUAACACGUGGAUAACCUACCUAUAAGACUGGGAUAACUUCGGGAAACCGGAGCUAAUACCGGAUGAUAUUUUGAACCGCAUGGUUCAAAAGUGAAAGACGGUCUUGCUGUCACUUAUAGAUGGAUCCGCGCUGCAUUAGCUAGUUGGUAAGGUAACGGCUUACCAAGGCAACGAUGCAUAGCCGACCUGAGAGGGUGAUCGGCCACACUGGAACUGAGACACGGUCCAGACGCCUACGGGAGGCAGCAGUAGGGAAUCUUCCGCAAUGGGCGAAAGCCUGACGGAGCAACGCCGCGUGAGUGAUGAAGGUCUUCGGAUCGUAAAACUCUGUUAUUAGGGAAGAACAUAUGUGUAAGUAACUGUGCACAUCUGGACGGUACCUAAUCAGAAAGCCACGGCUAACUACGG